rnacentral:rRNA from 1 species
AUUGAACGCUGGCGGCAGGCUUAACACAUGCAAGUCGAACGAGUGGCGGACGGGUGAGUAAUGCUUGGGAAUCUAGCUUAUGGAGGGGGAUAACUACGGGAAACUGUAGCUAAUACCGCGUACCAUAGGAUGAGCCGAUGUGGGAUUAGGUAGUUGGUGAGGUAAAGGCUCACCAAGCCGACGAUCUCUAGCUGGUCUGAGAGGAUGACCAGACACACUGGGACUGAGACACGGCCCAGACUCCUACGGGAGGCAGCAGUGGGGAAUAUUGCGCAAUGGGAGCAAGCUGACUCAGCCAUGCCGCGUGGAUGAAGAAGGCCUUCGGGUUGUAAAGUUCUUUCGGUAGCGAGGCGUUACCUACAGAAGAAGCACCGGCUAACUCCGUGCCAGCAGCCGCGGUAAUAC